GUCUUUAUAGUUUAAUAAAAAACAUUAGUCUUGUAAACUAAAAUUGUCACAACUAAAGGCU
rnacentral:tRNA from 1 species